UGGGGAAUUUUGGACAAUGGGCGAAAGCCUGAUCCAGCAAUGCCGCGUGUGUGAAGAAGGCCUUCGGGUUGUAAAGCACUUUUGUCCGGAAAGAAAUCCUUGGCUCUAAUACAGUCGGGGGAUGACGGUACCGGAAGAAUAAGCACCGGCUAACUACGUGCCAGCAGCCGCGGUAAUACGUAGGGUGCAAGCGUUAAUCGGAAUUACUGGGCGUAAAGCGUGCGCAGGCGGUUUGCUAAGACCGAUGUGAAAUCCCCGGGCUCAACCUGGGAACUGCAUUGGUGACUGGCAGGCUAGAGUAUGGCAGAGGGGGGUAAAAUUCCACGUGUAGCAGUGAAAUGCGUAGAGAUGUGGAGGAAUACCGAUGGCGAAGGCAGCCCCCUGGGCCAAUACUGACGCUCAUGCACGAAAAGCGUGGGGGAGCAAACAGGAUUAGAUACCCUGGUAGUCCACGCCCUAAACGAUGUNAACUAGUUG
rnacentral:rRNA from 1 species